rnacentral:rRNA from 1 species
GACGAACCGCCCAAACGUUAUUCGGAAUUACUGGGCUUAAAGGGUGCGUAGGCGGCCCGGCAAGUCAGGUGUGAAAUCCCACGGCUCAACCGUGGAACUGCGCUUGAAACUGCUGGGCUUGAGGGAGAUAGAGGUAAGCGGAACUGAUGGUGGAGCGGUGAAAUGCAUUGAUAUCAUCAGGAACACCGGUGGCGAAGGCGUCUUACUGGGUCUCUUCUGACGCUGAGGCACGAAAGCUAGGGGAGCGAACGGGAUUAGAUACCCUGGUAGU